CAGGAACUGACUGCUGAGAGCCGUGGGACAGACAACACCCUACUCAGUUUUUGCACAUUCAAGCAAAAUGCUAUGUCCUUCCUGGAUGGACCAAGUCCCAUUUUUGCAGGCACUGUAUCAGGAGCAUCUGAGGAGUUGUUACUAUCUGAAACUUCUAACAUAAAUGACCAUCUUGGCUUAACUCCACCAUGCUCUCUGAAAUUCAUUUCCCAUCAUCUGUCUUUUCACCCAAGCCGAAGUGUCUGAGAGACUGAGACUUCAGAAACCCACAGAAAAGGACACAGAAAAAUGAAGCUUUUGCUUUUGGCCUGCUCACCCUCACUCUUGCUGGCAAGUUCAGCCAUCAUGAUGCCGAGGCAUUCUUUCACUAAUGUUAGAAGAUGCUUCUUUGGAAUCCAACAUAUCCUGAAGACCUGCUGAGACAUCCUGCCUAUCAGAUUCUUGGCCGUUCCAUCGGGAGACAGUCAUUGUUGGACUAGCUGGACCACAGCCUGUAAGCCACUCUAAUAAAUGCCCAUUUAAUGUUAAUUCAUUCUAUUAGUUCUGUUCCUCUGGAGAACCCUGGCUAAUAGAGGUAGGUAUGCUGUCACUUUCCUACUUAGGCUACCUAAGACUGUGACAUCUGUCUUGCUAGCAGACUCUCUGUUGACUUGGAUGAACUAGGCUGUCAUGUUCGAGAAAUCUAGAAAUCCAUGUGCCAAGAAACUGGCAAGUGUCCAGUAAAUAAAAAGCAAGAGUUGAAGCCCUCUAU